GCCGCGUAUGUCAGUGUGAUAUUUUCUGGAGGGAAAAAUCGUUGGGUUUGUUAGAAGUUGUGCUAAAGUUUAUUUUUCGUGGACAUUUCAGUUCUGCUGACUAUACUGUUUGCUCAAGAUGCCGAAAAAUAUCAAAUUUAACGUUGGCGAUCUAAUAUGGGCCAAAAUGAAGGGUUACCCUCAUUGGCCUGCUAGAAUAGAUAAAGUUAAAGCAGGCACCAAAAUUCCAGCCAACAAACUGCCUAUCUUCUUCUAUGGAACGCAUGAAACUGCAUUUAUGCAAGCGAAGGAUCUUUGCCCUUAUCAAGAAAAUAAAGCCAAGUACUUUGUACCAAAAAGGAUACGAGGUUUUCAGGAGGGACUUGAUGAGAUCGAAAAGACACCUUUAGUAAAAUUCAUUGGUAAUGCAAGUGAGAAAUCAAAAAUGCUGAAGAAUGGAAAUAAAUCAGAGAAAAAGGAAGAAAAUUCUGAUAACAAGAAAGACAAAGAAGAGGAACAAAGUAAGAAUAAAAAGCAAAAGUCAUCAGAAAAAAUAAAAGACGACAGUUCGGAGGGGAUUCCACCUAAGAAGAAGAUUAAAGUGACCAUUAAAAGGGAGGAGGAGAAGGAAAAGGAUGAUCAAUCUCAGAUUCCAGAAAAGGAAGAGGAAGAGGAAGAGGAAGUGGAGAAGAAAGGAGAACAUAGAAAUGGAGAAAAGAAAAAGGAGGAUGAGGAAGAUGUGAUGACAAAAGAAGAAUUCAUGAGAAAGCGUAAUGAGCGAUUGCAAAAAGAAGGAGCUAUUGAAAGAAAAGAAGAGGCAAGAGAAACUACAACAAAAGAAGGCCGAGAAACUUGCUGCUGUUGAACGAGAAAGAGAGUUACUUAAUUUACCAACAACCGAUCAGAUCCUUGAGAGAUUUCUUUACGAUCUAAAGGUGUCGCUUAGAGUGGAGUCACCGGAUGUGACCAGAUGUAUAAGGAUUAUUGGACAAAUACAAAAUCUCGAUUUAACACCUGAAAUAAUUCGAAAUGCACCGGACUUGGUAUCGACUUUAAAAAGGAUACGUAAAUACACAGGAAGCGAAGAAGUUGUACAAUCUGCUGGUGUACUUUAUAGCAAGUUGAAAUCAUUUUUUCUUGUGUCUUCUUCAGCGAAUGGUUUAUCUCCUACAUCCGAAAGCACGCUUCCAAGCUGAACGAUGACGAAGGAAUUUAACGCAUAUUAGUAUUUUUGAACGUUUUUAACUACAAAUAAAAAGUAAUUUACAAUGGCCUGGUUAUAUUCUGUAAAGUGGCCGAGUUCGUUUUAAGACAAUGAGUUCAUGUUCUUCUUGGACACUGUAGUCACGUUGCUUCGAAUGACGUAUGAACGUUUGGCUAUUACGUGAUAAAACUUCUGUUGUAAUAUAACCUUCUAAUAAUAUUUAUUGCGAAAGUGUACGCCUGUUAAA